rnacentral:tRNA from 1 species
CCGCCAUUAGCUCAGCAGGAAGAGCAACGACCGUUAAGUUGUAGGUUCGAGGCCUCGAUGGCGGACCA